CACCUUGAUGGAGCGCCGCCCUGCUCCUUAUUGUUCAAAUCGCACUGUCCCUCUUAUGGUCGUGCAUAUCCUUAUUGAAUGUCCUGACUUCCGGGACGAGCGUGUCUUGUUUUCCGACCAUCCCCUGCGGUAGCUUGUCUCGUGUUAUUCUUGGGGACUCUGACCCUUUUGAUAUCGUUCGCCUUGUGCGUUUGUUCUCGUAUUGGCAUCCUUGGUGAUAUUUAGCGCCCUCUGAUUAUGCCGACCUUUUGAUGGUGUUACAUAUCCUACCCGGUUUGGUGCCUUCUUUUGACAAUUACUUACUUGCUGAUGGAUGUUAUUUUUCCCAAGACUUUUGCAGUGAUGUAGCAUUCGGUCCUAAUGUUGGGUAGGGUGUCUUCGGUGGUCCUAUUCUUGGCCAGGGCGUCGGCAGUGGUCCAGCUACCAUAUUCAGCAGUGGCAGGUUGGCCCAGGUGAACGUUCCGCGGGUCGCAGUGGGCAGCACUGGACCUUCUGGAAGUGUUGUCAGACCUGUUGGCGUUCCUCAGGUCAGGAGGGUGGACGAUGUCUUCCACCCCACUGUCACCAAAGUUGUCACCAUCAACUGUUGCGUGACUGUCACCGACCAAGCCUUCAACAGCGUGGCAGUAACACUAACGUCCUUCAGCGUGCAGACUGUCACCGUCGGAACACGCUCGGUGCUACAGACUCCCGUUGAUGACCGGGUCGCUCUCCAGACUUCUGUCCGGCCAACGUCAGUAAUGUUAACGGAAGUGAAGUCUGACUUUAGGAUCGUGACGGAAACGUCACUAAGUUACGUGACCCUCGGCCACACGUCCUACAUAAUCAGCCAGUACACCACUCCGGUCACCCAGGUGUUGACGUACACAGCGACGGUGGUACAACGAAUAUUAAGUGAACUACCUUCACGGACUACCGGACAGUGACGGACACUACAUUAACAGCGGCUACCAUCCUCAAGACUGUUAAUCUUAAUACAAAACUCUUGCAUUGUAGUAAAAAAUAUCUAGUAAACUUAAGUAAUAGCUAAAUAUUUUUAUUAAACUAAUUUUAGAUUAACAAGUUUUGGUUUAAUGUAGUUAAGCUAGUUAAUGAUAGAGGACAGCCCACUAUGGGCUCGCCAUAGCCCGUGCUGCUUGGCACUUUUGUUAAGAGUAGCUGAAUCUUAAACAAGAGUUCGUUAAAAUGAAGAACAUGCCUUGGCAAGUUUUAAUAUGCUUUCUCACUCGUAUAGGCUUGGUCUUCUAGAAACCAACGAAAUUUUUGGUAGCCACUAUGUAAGGCAAAACCAGGCACCGUAGAACUAUCUUAAAUAGUGGUCUUGAAGGCUGUGAUCAUGUCUACCACAAAUGCUCCGGCCAGUUACAGAAAAAUGGAAGUGGGACUAAAGUUAAGUUGUCGCACUAUGCUGCUCGUCCUCCUAAACAAAGGCUAAAGUCUAUUUCAUGGAGCCCCAGUUUAUAAAUGUUAAUAAAAACUAGUUACAAAGACACUCGACUGAUUAUGUAAGCCGUCCUCGGACA